AGUGAACGCCGGCGGUAGGCCUAACACAUGCAAGUCGAACGGCAGCACAGGAGAGCUUGCUCUCUGGGUGGCGAGUGGCGGACGGGUGAGGAAUACAUCGGAAUCUACUUUUUCGUGGGGGAUAACGUAGGGAAACUUACGCUAAUACCGCAUACGACCUACGGGUGAAAGCAGGGGACCUUCGGGCCUUGCGCGAUUGAAUGAGCCGAUGUCGGAUUAGCUAGUUGGCGGGGUAAAGGCCCACCAAGGCGACGAUCCGUAGCUGGUCUGAGAGGAUGAUCAGCCACACUGGAACUGAGACACGGUCCAGACUCCUACGGGAGGCAGCAGUGGGGAAUAGUGGACAAUGGGCGCAAGCCUGAUCCAGCCAUACCGCGUGGGUGAAGAAGGCCUUCGGGUUGUAAAGCCCUUUUGUUGGGAAAGAAAUCCAGCUGGCUAAUACCCGGUUGGGAUGACGGUACCCAAAGAAUAAGCACCGGCUAACUUCGUGCCAGCCGCCGCGGUAA
rnacentral:rRNA from 1 species